GAUGAACGCUGGCGGCGUGCUUAACACAUGCAAGUCGAACGGUGAACCCGGAGCUUGCUCUGUGGGAUCAGUGGCGAACGGGUGAGUAACACGUGAGCAACCUGCUCCUGACUCUGGGAUAAGCGCUGGAAACGGCGCCUACUACAGGAUAUGUGACGUGACCGCAUGGUCUGCGUUUGGAAAGAUUUUUUGGUGGGGGAUGGGCUCGCGGUCUAUCAGCUGGUUGGUGAGGUAAUGGCGGACCAACGCGUCGACGGGUAGCCGACCUGAGAGGGUGACCGGCCACACUGGGACUGAGACACGGCGCAGACUCCUACAGUAGGCAGCAGUGGGAAGUAUUGCACAAUGGGCGCAAGCCUGAUGCAGCAGCGCCGCGUGAGUGAUGACGGCCUUCGGGUUGUGAACCUCUUUUGGCAGGGAAGAAGCGAAAGUGACGGUACCUGCAGAAAAAGCGCCGGCUAACUACGUG
rnacentral:rRNA from 1 species